CCUAGUGGCGGACGGGUGAGGAAUACGUAGGGAUCUGCCUUUAAGUGGGGGAUAACCCGGGGAAACCCGGAUUAAUACCGCAUGAUCUCGCAAGAGCAAAGUGGGGGAUCGCAAGACCUCACGCUUUUAGAGGAACCUACGUCGGAUUAGCUUGUUGGUGAGGUAAUGGCUCACCAAGGCGACGAUCCGUAACUGGUCUGAGAGGAUGAUCAGUCACACUGGAACUGAGACACGGUCCAGACUCCUACGGGAGGCAGCAGUGGGGAAUAUUGGACAAUGGGCGAAAGCCUGAUCCAGCAAUACCGCGUGUGUGAAGAAGGCCUUCGGGUUGUAAAGCACUUUAAGUUGGGAAGAAAAAACUUCAAUUAAUACUUGAAGUCUUGACGGUACCGACAGAAUAAGCACCGGCUAACUCUGUGCCAGCAGCCGCGGUAAUACAGAGGGUGCAAGCGUUAAUCGGAAUUACUGGGCGUAAAGCGUGCGCAGGCGGUUUUGUAAGUCUGACGUGAAAGCCCCGGGCUCAACCUGGGAAUUGCGUUG
rnacentral:rRNA from 14 species